rnacentral:piRNA from 1 species
UGAGGAACACUAGGAGCCAAGG